rnacentral:rRNA from 1 species
AUUGAACGCUGGCGGCAUGCCUUACACAUGCAAGUCGAACGGUAACGCGGGGCAACCUGGCGACGAGUGGCGAACGGGUGAGUAAUGCAUCGGAACGUGCCCAGAAGUGGGGGAUAGCCCGGCGAAAGCCGGAUUAAUACCGCACGAGACCUGAGGGUGAAAGCGGGGGAUCGCAAGACCUAGCGCCUUUGGAGCGGCCGAUGUCAGAUUGGCUAGUUGGUGGGGUAAAGGCCUACCAAGGCGACGAUCUGUAGCUGGUCGGAGAGGAGGACCGGCCACACGGGAACUGAGACACGCCCCAGACUCCUACGGGAGGCAGCAGUGGGGAAUUUUGGACAGAGGGCGCAAGCCUGAUCCAGCCAUGCCGCGUGCGGGAAGAAGGCCUUCGGGUUGUAAACCGCUUUUGUCGGGGAAGAAACGCUCUGGGCUAAUACCCUGGGGUAGUGACGGUACCUGAAGAAUAAGCACCGGCUAACUACGUG